UCUCCUUCAUUUAGGGCGAGACUCAAGCUUUGCUGAGAAAUGGUCUGCUGACAAAACUUCAAGCUACUCCCACGUCCAGCCGCAGGGACAGACAGCAACAACCCCUGGGGAGAAGUACUGCUCUUCAGAACGUGACCUUUUUCCCUGCUCUAACCUCUUGAUACUCCUCCACCUUGUUCCAGAAAGCAUUGAAAAGAAGACAUAUCAGGCUGUUGGCAUCGUGAUCAGUGUUCCCCAGGAACCUCACAUGCGACAGACCGUGUCCCGUACUGCUCUGGGCUGCAAGCUGAGUGCUGCCAUGUCACCUCUUGCCCAUCUCGCCACCGUGGGUCAAGCGCCACAACAGACACAAAGGGAGAUUUCCUGCCGUCUGGCCCAUAACUUCCUAGAGAGUCAAGCUCUCCAGCCAAGUAUAGUUUCUAAGCUUGUCCUACCUCCCAUGGUUGUUAUAAGGAUUAAAAGAGAUAAGAAAAAGCCUACAUGGGCCAGGAGUUACAUAUCAGUUCAACUGGAUGAGGCAUCUUUGUGGUUCUUCCUACAGGGGAAGAAAACUUUUUUUUUCUUCCCUUCUAGGUUCUUCCACUGGUUAAAUCGACUCCCCCAGACAACUGGAGAAGGGGUUAGUUGACCGGGGCUUCAAAGGGAACAAAGACAGUUUAUAGGAAGAUGGGAAAAGCAAAUUUUUGGUUAACAAAGUUUUGCCAAACCAGGCAGAAAUAGAGGACUUUGGACUUUGAACAGAUGGGACCUGCCAAGCCCCUUCCAGCUUACUGUGUCUAGCCCACACUCUUUGUAGUUAUCUCUGGUGAUAACUCUCUUCCCGGACCAGGCUCUCUAUCUGAAAGCAUUUAGGCAGUUCAAGGGGAAAUGAGAACGCUCUUGCUGUGCCUCCUGGGCCUUUGCUGACUUCAGCUGAAAGCAGUCCACGUGCCAAAGUGGCACAUUUGGGGGAGGCUUAUUCUGAACCCCUUCCCUCCCAUCCUGCCCAUUUCCUGUUCCUUGAAACUGGUGGUGUAAUCUAAGGCACCCCGAAAUCUUCUGUGAUCUGACUAUGUCAUUUUUAAGGACAGGAUUUUUGGUGAGAAUUAGAAAACAAAUACAGGUCCACUGAUUUCUCAUUGAAAGAGUUCCUAAAGAGUCCGGCUGUCACACACAGCUUGGAUUUUCUACGUUCCCUGUAAAAGCAUGCACAGGCAAGGCCAUGUGGAUGAAAAGGGGCUCUGUAAUCAAUCUGACCAACAGUGACGGGACAGGGUGAUGCCACCAUGAAAUUCUAACGGGGCAGGUCAUGGUGGGUAGUCAGGCCAGGACGGCAAAAGGUUUACCUUUGCCUGCAGCAAGCCCUGUGCAUCUGGGUUCACAUGCUUUUGAAAUGACAGAAGUAAUCCUCUUUUCCAGACCUCCUUCCUGUCACCACCCUUAAGGGCGAAUGUAAUCUUAGCUAUCUUCUACCUUGCUUUCUCCCAUUUCAUGUAAUUUUCCUUAUUUCUCUUACUUCCAAAUGUAUAAAAGAAACUGCUAACCUAUCAUUCUCCAGAGCAUUGAGAUCUUGCUUUCUAGAAUGUCACCGGUUUGGCUCAAAUAAACCCUUAUAAAAAUUUUCUGCAGGUUUGGACAUCUCUGACCAAUCAAAAUUUACUUGGUGUCAGCAGGAUUCUGAAGAAGCCCACCCAGGACCACCCUCUGGGCUGGAACCUGGUGCUCGGUACCAGCAUGGGCCCAUGGUGCCCCACCAGCUCCCUGCUUUGCACUGGGGGAACAAUGGGGGAAGAUCAUUUGCAACUUGCUGUACUUGUCAAGGACACACACAGAUUCUGUGUGUCUUCUUAUCCCAACUGCCAGAACAACAUCUGGAUCCAAAUUUUAUAAAUUAGUGAGUUUUUCCUCAGGGCUAAAGUCUCUGUGUCUCUGUGUGUCUACAUAUGUGUGUUGUGAGAUAAUUUCCUACCUUUGAAAUUAAUUUAAUUAAUUAAAAUGAACUGAUUUGAAGGCAAAUGAUUCUAAGGAUUGGGUAUUAUAAAAUUCUCAGAAAUACAGAAAAUAACUCCAAAGCUUUUCAAGCUCAUGUGACCUAAGGUUAAUCCUUAGUAAAUCAAAGUUAGUUUAAGUUUGCUGAUUUAAGUAGAACAGACAUCUUUUGAGUUAUUGAUAUUAAAUAUAAUAUUUUAUCCAGGCUUUACAAAAAUAAUUCCAUGUUAA